rnacentral:rRNA from 1 species
UACAGGGGGUGCAAACGUUGCUCGGAAUCAUUGGGCGUAAAGCGCACGUAGGCGGUUCGUUAUGUCGGAUGUGAAAGCCCUUGGCUUAACCGAGGAAGUGCAUCCGAAACUGGCGAGCUAGAGUACUAAAGAGGAUCGCGGAAUUCCCGGUGUAGAGGUGAAAUUCGAUAGAUAUCGGGAGGAACACCGGUGGCGAAGGCGGCGAUCUGGGUAGAUACUGACGCUGAGGUGCGAAAGCGUGGGGAGCAAACAGG